CCACGUCAGGCUAGAUCACCCGCUGA
rnacentral:rRNA from 1 species